rnacentral:rRNA from 1 species
GACGAACGCUGGCGGCGUGCUUAACACAUGCAAGUCGAACGGAAAGGCCCUGCUUUUGUGGGGUGCUCGAGUGGCGAACGGGUGAGCAACACGUGAGUAACCUGCCCUUGACUUUGGGAUAACUACAGGAAACUGGGGCUAAUACCGGAUAGGAGCUCCUGCUGCAUGGUGGGGGUUGGAAAGUUUCGGCGGUUGGGGAUGGACUCGCGGCUUAUCAGCUUGUUGGUGGGGUAGUGGCUUACCAAGGCUUUGACGGGUAGCCGGCCUGAGAGGGUGACCGGCCACAUUGGGACUGAGAUACGGCCCAGACUCCUACGGGAGGCAGCAGUGGGGAAUAUUGCACAAUGGGCGGAAGCCUGAUGCAGCAACGCCGCGUGCGGGAUGACGGCCUUCGGGUUGUAAACCGCUUUCGCCUGUGACGAAGCGUGAGUGACGGUAAUGGGUAAAGAAGCACCGGCUAACUACGUG